rnacentral:rRNA from 1 species
UGACCCGCAGAUAUCCGAAUGGAGCAAUCCGGCAGCAGCAGUGCUGUCAUCCCUAUUCGACCGAAUAGGGAAGGGAACCCGGUGAACUGAAACAUCUAAGUAGCCGGAGGAAAAGAAAUCAAACGAGAUACCCCAAGUAGCGGCGAGCGAACGGGGCAGACGCCCAAACCGAUAAAGGAAACUUUAACGGGGUAGAGGACCCGGUAACAAUGCCACGAAUUUAGCCGAAGAGUACUGGAACGUACCGCCGAAGACGGUGACAGCCCGGUAGGCGAAAGAGGAGUGGCAGGACUGGGAAUCCGGAGUACCGCGGGACACGUGAAACCCCGUGGGAAGCAGGGGGGACCACCCUCCAAGGCAAAACACUGAUAUCGACCGAUAGCGCAUAGUACCGUGAGGGAAAGGUGAAAAGCACCCCGGGAGGGGAGUGAAAGAGAACCUGAAACCGUAUGUUUACAAACAGUCGAAGCACGUUAUGAAUCGUGCGACGGCGUGCCUAUUGAAGAAUGAACCGGCGAGUUACUACUACUGGCAAGGUUAAGGAGGAAAUCCGGAGCCGCAGCGAAAGCGAGUCUGAACAGGGCGCAAGUCAGUAAGAGUAGACCCGAAACCACAGUGAUCUACCCAUGUCCAGAUUGAAACACAGGUAAAAUUGUGUGGAGGAUCGAACCUAUGAGUGUUGAAAAACUUUAGGAUGAGAUGUGGGUAGGGGUGAAAUUCCAAUCGAACGUGGAGAUAGCUGGUUCUCCCCGAAAUAUCUUUAGGGAUAGCCUUAAGGAGAGACUAUAGGCGGUAGAGCACUGAUCGGGCUAGGGACCAAACCGGUUACUGAACCCAGUCAAACUACGAAUGGCUAUAGUUAUACUUAGGAGUCAGACUACGAGUGAUAAGAUCCGUGGUCAAGAGGGAAACAGCCCAGACCAUCAGCUAAGGUCCCCAAUGCCGUGCUAAGUGGGAAAGGAUGUAGCAUUUCACAAACAACCAGGAUGUUGGCUUAGAAGCAGCCAUCAUUAAAAGAGUGCGUAAUAGCUCACUGGUCGAGAGACGCUGCGCCGAAAAUACCCGGGGCUCAAGCACGGAACCGAAGCUAUGGCAUGCGUAAGCAUGGGUAGGGGAGCGUUCUGCAUAGGUAGAAGCAUGACCGUAAGGACAUGUGGACAGUGCAGAAGUGAGAAUGCCGGUAUGAGUAUCGAAAAGAAUGGUGAGAAUCCAUUCCACCGAAAGCCUAAGGGUUCCUGAGCAACGAUCGUCGGCUCAGGGUAAGUCGGGACCUAAGCCGAGGCGAAGACGCAUAGGCGAUGGACAACAGGUUGAAAUUCCUGUACUGACGUUAUUUGUUUGAGCAAUGGAGUGACACAGGAAGGUACAGCAGCACGCGACUGGAAGAGCGUGUCUAAGCGCGUACGUUGGUAACGAGGCAAAUCCCGUUACCUGAAAGCGGAGGCGUGAUGGGGAGACAUUGGAAACAAUGGGGAACUGCUGGAUCCUCGACUGUCGAGAAAAGCUUCUAGUGAGAAUGAUGUCACCCGUACCAAAACCGACACAGGUAGGCGAGAAGAGAAUUCUAAGGUGCGCGGGAAAACCCUACGUUAAGGAACUCGGCAAAAUGCAUCCGUAACUUCGGGAAAAGGAUGACCUUCGGUACGUAACGACCAGCAACGGUCCGAGCGGAAGAAGGUGACACAAGAGAGGCCCAAGCGACUGUUUACCAAAAACACAGGUGCCUGCGAAAGCGAAAGCUGAAGUAUAGGUGCUGACGACGGCGGCCGUAACUAUAACGGUCCUAAGGUAGCGAAAUUCCUUGUCGGGUAAGUUCCGACCCGCACGAAAGGCGUAACGAUUUGGGCACUGUCUCAACGAGGGACCCGGUGAAAUUGAAGUACCUGUGAAGAUGCAGGUUACCCGCGACUGGACAGAAAGACCCCAUGGAGCUUUACUGCAACUUGAGAUUGGAUCUCGGUGACAAAUGUACAGGAUAGGUGGGAGACUUAGAACUGAUGGCGCCAGCUGUCAGGGAGUCGAUGUUGGGAUACCACCCUUUUGUGACUGAGAUUCUAACGCCAAGCGUAACGAACUUGCGGACAUUCUCAGGCGGGCGGUUUGACUGGGGCGGUCGCCUCCGAAAGAGUAACGGAGGCGCCCAAAGGUUCCCUCAGCGCGGACGGAAAUCGCGCGAAGAGUGUAAAGGCAGAAGGGAGCUUGACUGCGAGACCAACAAGUCGAGCAGGGACGAAAGUCGGGCUUAGUGAUCCGGUGGUUCCGAGUGGAAGGGCCAUCGCUCAACGGAUAAAAGCUACCCUGGGGAUAACAGGCUAAUCUCUCCCAAGAGUCCAUAUCGACGGGGAGGUUUGGCACCUC